rnacentral:tRNA from 1 species
GGAGCGGUACUCAAGCGGCUGAAGAGGACGGUUUGCUAAAUCGUUAGAGGUCGUAAGGCCUGCGUGGGUUCAAAUCCCACCCGCUCCGCCA